rnacentral:rRNA from 1 species
CCUACGGGAGGCAGCAGUAGGGAAUCUUCGGCAAUGGGGGGAACCCUGACCGAGCAACGCCGCGUGAGUGAAGAAGGUUUUCGGAUCGUAAAGCUCUGUUGUUAAGGAAGAACGAGUGUGAGAAUGGAAAGUUCAUACUGUGACGGUACUUAACCAGAAAGGGACGGCUAACUACGUGCCAGCAGCCGCGGUAAU